rnacentral:tRNA from 1 species
UCUAUCUUGACAGACAAAUGUAAUGAACUUAAAAUUCAUCUAUAGAAAUAAAUUUCUAGUUAGAA